GACGAACGCUGGCGGCGUGCCUAAUACAUGCAAGUUGAGCGCUGAAGGUUGGUACUUGUACCGACUGGAUGAGCAGCGAACGGGUGAGUAACGCGUGGGGAAUCUGCCUUUGAGCGGGGGACAACAUUUGGAAACGAAUGCUAAUACCGCAUAAAAACUUUAAACACAAGCUUUAAGUUUGAAAGAUGCAAUUGCAUCACUCAAAGAUGAUCCCGCGUUGUAUUAGCUAGUUGGUGAGGUAAAGGCUCACCAAGGCGAUGAUACAUAGCCGACCUGAGAGGGUGAUCGGCCACAUUGGGAAUGAGACACGGCCCAAACUCCUACGGGAGGCAGCAGUAGGGAAUCUUCGGCAAUGGACGAAAGUCUGACCGAGCAACGCCGCGUGAGUGAAGAAGGUUUUCGGAUCGUAAAACUCUGUUGGUAGAGAAGAACGUUGGUGAGAGUGGAAAGCUCAUCAAGUGACGGUAACUACCCAGAAAGGGACGGCUAACUACGUG
rnacentral:rRNA from 1 species